rnacentral:lncRNA from 1 species
CUCUCCUUUUCUCCUUUUUAGGGUUUGUAUCUCUUUCAUUCCAUUCUUCAUCUAGAUUCAUCAUGACAAUGGUGAACUAAACCCUAUUGUUGUUGGGGGAAACAAUGUAAUCUUUUGAUACUCUCUUUUAUUGAAACUCUUGAUUAUUUAUAUGGUCUCCAUAUGUUUUGAUUGAUAAUUGUUGGGUUAUCAUCUGUGCUUAAGGCCUUUAUCAUUUAACUCAUUCGGUAACUGAUGUUUGUCUUUAUUGAUAUGGGGACGUACAGUAAUGACAUGAACUGGUGAGUAAUUUCUUGAUUUUGCAAUACCACCUAGGGAUAGGGGUAGGACGAUCAAUUGCGCUAACUUAUGUUUAUAAUGUGGUAUUUAUUACUAGGGGAGGCUUAGGAUAGCAAGCCAGUAGUUAACAUUUGGCCCUUUUCGCCGAGGGAUCGGGUUAAAGGGAGGCUAAGAAAGUCGCAUAACAAUUAAUUAAUCAAACUAAUAUUCAAGAGGAGUAGAUAAGAGAGAGAGGAUUAGAUGAAAUUGUAAACCCCCAACAACAUCCAUUAAUCCAUUGUUUUCUUUUGUCAAUUGAAUCAACUUUAUUUUGCAUGUUAAUAUUUUUGUUCUCAAAUCCAAUUUAUUAAUUUUUAUUUUCAAGUCUUAUUAUUUUAAUUCACAC